rnacentral:rRNA from 1 species
AUUGAACGCUUGCGGCAGGCCUAACACAUGCAAGUCGAGCGGGGUUUUCGAACCUAGCGGCGUACGGGCGAGUAAUGCGUAGGAUGCUACCCGAUAGAGGGGGAUACCAGUUGGAAACGACUGUUACUACCGCAUAAUGUCUACGGACCAAAGGGUGGGAUCUUCGGGCCACAUGCUAUCGGAUGCGCCUACGUGGGAUUAGCUAGUUGGUGGGGUAAUGGGUCACCAAGGCGACGAUCCCUAGCUGGUUUGAGAGGAUGAUCAGCCACACUGGAACUGAGACACGGUCCAGACUCCUACGGGAGGCAGCAGUGGGGAAUAUUGGACAAUGGGCGCAAGCCUGAUCCAGCCAUGCCGCGUGUGUGAAGAAGGCCUUCGGGUUGUAAAGCACUUUCAGUAGGGAGGAAGGGUGUUGUGUUAAUAGCACAGCAUUUUGACGUUACCUACAGAAGAAGCACCGGCUAACUCUGUGCCAGCCGCCGCCGUAACAC